rnacentral:rRNA from 1 species
GACGAACGCUGGCGGCGUGCUUAACACAUGCAAGUCGAGCGGUAAGGCCCCUUCGGGGUACGACGAGCGGCGAACGGGUGAGUAACACGUGGGUGACCUGCCCUCAGCUCUGGGAUAAGCCUGGGAAACUAGGGUCGUAAUACCGGAUAUGACUCCAUGACGCAUGUCGGUGGGGUGGAAAGCCUUGUGCGGCUGGGGAUGGGCCCGCGGCCUAUCAGCUUGUUGGUGGGGUGAUGGCCUACCAAGGCGACGA